rnacentral:rRNA from 1 species
CAAGCGGUGGAGCAUGUGGUUUAAUUCGAAGCAACGCGAAGAACCUUACCAGGUCUUGACAUCCCGAUGCUAUUUCUAGAGAUAGAAAGUUACUUCGGUACAUCGGUGACAGGUGGUGCAUGGUUGUCGUCAGCUCGUGUCGUGAGAUGUUGGGUUAAGUCCCGCAACGAGCGCAAACCCCUACUUGUUAGUUGUCCACUCAUUCUAGUUGGGUCGACUCUAGCGAGACUGCCGGUAAUAAACCGGAGGAAGGUGGGGAGUGACGUCAAAUACAUCAUGCCCCUUACUGACCUGGGCGUACACACGUGCUACAAUGGCGUUUAACAAAGAGAAGCGAUACCGCGAGGUGGAGCAAAACUACAAAACAACGUCUCAGUUCAGAUUGCAGGCUGCAACUCGCCUGCAUGAAGUCGGAAUUGCUAGUAAUCGCGGAUCAGCAUGCCGCGGUGAAUACGUUCCGGGCCUUGUACACACGUCGACGCGGCCGAGUCGUGGAGG